rnacentral:rRNA from 1 species
GACGAGGGACCCUAGCGUUGUUCGGAAUCAUUGGGCGUAAAGCGGGCGUAGGUGGCCUUGUAAGUCAGGCGUGAAAUCCCUGGGCUCAACCCAGGACGUGCAUUUGAUACUGCGAAGCUUGAGUGCCGGAGAGGUUACUGGAAUACCUGGUGUAGUGGUGAAAUACGUAGAUAUCAGGUGGAACACCGGAGGCGAAGGCGGGUAACUGGCCGGACUCUGACACUCAGGCCCGAAAGCGUGGGGAUCAAACAGG